UGGGGCGUAGCGUAAUUGGUAGCGCGACGGGUUCUGGCCCCGUAGGUUCCAGGUUCGAGCCCUGGCGCCCCAACCA
rnacentral:tRNA from 1 species